AAGUCGAGGGGUAACAGAGAGAAGCUUGCUUUUCUGCUGACGACCGGCGCACGGGUGCGUAACGCGUAUACAAUCUGCCUUAUACAGAGGGAUAGCCUUUAGAAAUGAAGAUUAAUACCUUAUAGUCUAUUUUUAUAGCAUUAUAUAAAUAGUAAAGCUUCGGUGGUAUAAGAUGAGUAUGCGUCCUAUUAGUUAGUUGGUAAGGUAACGGCUUACCAAGACAACGAUAGGUAGGGGCCCUGAGAGGGGGAUCCCCCACACUGGUACUGAGACACGGACCAGACUCCUACGGGAGGCAGCAGUGAGGAAUAUUGGACAAUGGAGGCAACUCUGAUCCAGCCAUGCCGCGUGCAGGAUGACGGCCCUAUGGGUUGUAAACUGCUUUUAUAUAGGAAGAAACCUUUUCACGUGUGAGAAGCUGACGGUACUAUAAGAAUAAGGACCGGCUAACUCCGUGCCAGCAGCCGCGGUAAUACGGAGGGUCCGAGCGUUAUCCGGAAUCAUUGGGUUUAAAGGGUCCGUAGGCGGGAAUCUAAGUCAGUGGUGAAAUCUUGCAGCUCAACUGUAAAAUUGCCAUUGAUACUGGAUUUCUUGAAUUAGUGUGAAGUGGGUAGAAUGUGUAGUGUAGCGGUGAAAUGCAUAGAUAUUACACAGAAUACCAAUUUGCGAAGGCAGAUCCCUAACACUAUAUUGACGCUGAGGGACGAAAGCGUGGGGAGCGAACAGGAUUAGAUACCCUGGUAGUCCACGCCGUAACGAUGGAUACUAGCUGUUCGAUCUUCGGA
rnacentral:rRNA from 1 species